AGAUUGAACGCUAGCGGCAUGCCUUACACAUGCAAGUCGAACGGCAGCACGGGAGCAAUCCUGGUGGCGAGUGGCGAACGGGUGAGUAAUAUAUCGGAACGUGCCCAGUCGUGGGGGAUAACGCAGUGAAAGCUGUGCUAAUACCGCAUACGAUCUAUGGAUGAAAGCGGGGGACUCGCAAGAGCCUCGCGCGAUUGGAGCGGCCGAUAUCAGAUUAGCUAGGUUGGUAGGGUAAAAGCCCACCAAGGCGACGAUCGUGUAGCUGGUCUAGGAGAGGACACCAGCCACACUGGAACUGACGACACGGUCC
rnacentral:rRNA from 1 species